UGGGGAAUAUUGCGCAAUGGGCGAAAGCCUGACGCAGCAACGCCGCGUGAGUGAGGAAGGCCUUAGGGUUGUAAAGCUCUGUCAAUGUGGAAAAAUGGCUUUGGGUCCAAUAGGCCUAAAGUUUGAUGGUACACAUAAAGGAAGCACCGGCUAACUUCGUGCCAGCAGCCGCGGUAAUACGAAGGGUGCGAGCGUUGUUCGGAUUUAUUGGGCGUAAAGCGGGUGCAGGCGGAUAUACAAGUCAGAUGUGAAAUCUCGAGGCUCAACCUCGAAACUGCGUCUGAAACUGUACAUCUAGAAUCUCGUAGAGGGAGGCGGAAUUUCGCAUGUAGGAGUAAAAUCCGUAGAUAUGCGAAGGAACACCAGAGGCGAAGGCGGCCUCCUGGGCGAGUAUUGACGCUGUAGCCGAAAGCGUGGGGAGCAAACAGG
rnacentral:rRNA from 1 species